AGAGUUUGAUCCUGGCUCAGGACGAACGCUGGCGGCACGCUUAACACAUGCAAGUCGAACGAGAGAAGAGGAGCUUGCUUUUCUGAUCUAGUGGCGGACGGGUGAGUAACACGUGAGCAAUCUGCCUUUCAGAGGGGGAUACCGAUUGGAAACGAUCGUUAAUACCGCAUAACAUAAUUGAACCGCAUGAUUUGAUUAUCAAAGAUUUAUCGCUGAAAGAUGAGCUCGCGUCUGAUUAGCUAGUUGGUAAGGUAACGGCUUACCAAGGCGACGAUCAGUAGCCGGACUGAGAGGUUGAUCGGCCACAUUGGGACUGAGACACGGCCCAGACUCCUACGGGAGGCAGCAGUGGGGAAUAUUGCACAAUGGAGGAAACUCUGAUGCAGCGAUGCCGCGUGAGGGAAGAAGGUUUUAGGAUUGUAAACCUCUGUCUUCAGGGACGAAAAAAGACGGUACCUGAGGAGGAAGCUCCGGCUAACUACGUGCCAGCAGCCGCGGUAAUACGUAGGGAGCGAGCGUUGUCCGGAAUUACUGGGUGUAAAGGGAGCGUAGGCGGGAUCGCAAGUCAGAUGUGAAAACUAUGGGCUUAACCCAUAAACUGCAUUUGAAACUGUGGUUCUUGAGUGAAGUAGAGGUAAGCGGAAUUCCUAGUGUAGCGGUGAAAUGCGUAGAUAUUAGGAGGAACAUCAGUGGCGAAGGCGGCUUACUGGGCUUUAACUGACGCUGAGGCUCGAAAGCGUGGGGAGCAAACAGGAUUAGAUACCCUGGUAGUCCACGCCGUAAACGAUGAUUACUAGGUGUGGGGGGACUGACCCCUUCCGUGCCGCAGCAAACGCAAUAAGUAAUCCACCUGGGGAGUACGACCGCAAGGUUGAAACUCAAAGGAAUUGACGGGGGCCCGCACAAGCAGUGGAGUAUGUGGAUUAAUUCGAAGCAACGCGAAGAACCUUACCAGGUCUUGACAUCGUAUGCAUAGCUCAGAGAUGAGUGAAAUCUCUUCGGAGACAUAUAGACAGGUGGUGCAUGGUUGUCGUCAGCUCGUGUCGUGAGGUGUUGGGUUAAGUCCCGCAACGAGCGCAACCCUUACUGUUAGUUGCUACGCAAGAGCACUCUAGCAGGACUGCCGUUGACAAAACGGAGGAAGGUGGGGAUGACGUCAAAUCAUCAUGCCCCUUAUGACCUGGGCCUCACACGUACUACAAUGGCUGUCAACAGAGGGAAGCAAAGCCGCGAGGUGGAGCGAACCCCUAAAAGCAGUCUUAGUUCGGAUUGUAGGCUGCAACCCGCCUACAUGAAGUCGGAAUUGCUAGUAAUCGCAGAUCAGCAUGCUGCGGUGAAUACGUUCCCGGGCCUUGUACACACCGCCCGUCACGCCAUGGGAGUCGGUAACACCCGAAGCCUGUAGUCUAACCGCAAGGAGGACGCAGUCGGAGGUGGGAUUGAUGACUGGGGUGAAGUCGUAACAAGGUA
rnacentral:rRNA from 1 species